rnacentral:lncRNA from 1 species
GGAGCAGGGCAGCACUGGGCCGGUCGCAAAACGCUGCGGCUCUGCUCGCAGGCGGCCGCGGAUGCGGCGCGGAGGGCACGGAGCGAGGCCGUGGUGUGCGGCAUCUGCAUGGACCGCGUGUACGAGAAGGCGCUGCCGGAGRAGCGGCUCUUCGGCAUCCUCCCCAACUGCGGCCACGCGUACUGCCUGGGCUGCAUCCGCACGUGGCGCCGCAGCCGGGACUUCCAGACCGCYGUCAUCAAGGCCUGCCCCGAGUGCCGUGUCACGUCCGGCUACUACAUCCCCCACAAAUACUGGGUCUCGGAGGCGGAUGAGAAGGAGAAGCUGAUCGAAUCCUUCAAGGCCCGGAUGGGGAAAAGAAGGUGCAAGUUCUUCAUCCGGAGCCGCGGCCGCUGCCCGUUCAAGUCGGACUGCAUCUACCUGCACGAGCUCCCGGCUGGCCGGACCUCUCGGCACAGGCAGCGGCCGAGGAUCCCGGCUGAGUUCGACCCCGCUCUGCUGGAGAGCUCGGACGAGGAGGACGAGGAGCUCUGCAUCCUCGAGUGGGCACUUGCCCUGGCCCUGAUGGAGGCCAACGGCCGGUACCCGCCUUACGGCCAGGAGAGCUUCUUCACGGACUUCAGCGACUCCGACUAGGCCCUCUGGGACACCCCGCAGGUCCUGACGCUCUGCGAUGACAAAACCUUUGCUUCCCCUCCCAGAAUCUCCUUUUGCAGCGCUCAGCUGCCUGCGGUCACCGCCUUGGUGGCUCUGCGUGGGCUGGGGUGUCCCUGGCUGCUCGGUGGGACGCGGACGCUGCUGUUCGUCUACCUCCCACCCAUGGGGGACCAACCGUGUCCUCCCCACAAAGGCGAGGGGGCGAAGGGGCUGCAGUGGUCCUUUGGUGAUGGGGGCACCGUCCCCUUCUCCCCCCUGCCCUUGGCAGGGCAGUGCUUGCACUGAGGGGUGCUUUCCU